GAUGAACGCUAGCGGCAGGCCUAACACAUGCAAGUCGAGGGGCAGCACAUAAAGUGGUUUACUACUUUUGGUGGCGACCGGCGGACGGGUGCGUAACGCGUAUGCAACCUGCCUCCAACAGGGGGAUAACGGAGAGAAAUUUCCACUAAUACCCCAUAAUAUCAGAAUCGGCAUCGGUUUUGGUUGAAAACUCCGGUGGGUGGAGAUUGGCAUGCGUUGUAUUAGGUAGUUGGUGAGGUAACGGCUCACCAAGUCAACGAGACAUAGGGGGACUGAGAGGUUAGCCCCCCACACUGGUACUGAGACACGGACCAGACUCCCACGGGAGGCAGCAGUGAGGAAUAUUGGUCAAUGGGGGCAACCCUGAACCAGCCAUGCCGCGUGCAGGAAGACGGCUCUAUGAGUUGUAAACUGCUUUUACAAGGGGAUAAAUCGGUGUACGUGUACACCGUUGAAGGUACCUUGGGAAUAAGGAUCGGCUAACUCCGUGCCAGCCGCCGCAGUAA
rnacentral:rRNA from 1 species